CAUCCACAGAACUUUCCAGAGAUGGAUUGGUGCCUUCGGGAACUGUGAGACAGGUGCUGCAUGGCUGUCGUCAGCUCGUGUUGUGAAAUGUUGGGUUAAAGUCCCGCAACGAGCGCAACCCUUAUCCUUUGUUGCCAGCGGUUCGGCCGGGAACUCAAAGGAGACUGCCAGUGAUAAACUGGAGGAAGGUGGGGAUGACGUCAAGUCAUCAUGGCCCUUACGACCAGGGCUACACACGUGCUACAAUGGCAUAUACAAAGAGAAGCGACCUCGCGAGAGCAAGCGGACCUCAUAAAGUAUGUCGUAGUCCGGAUUGGAGUCUGCAACUCGACUCCAUGAAGUCGGAAUCGCUAGUAAUCGUAGAUCAGAAUGCUACGGUGAAUACGUUCCCGGGCCUUGUACACACCGCCCGUCACACCAUGGGAGUGGGUUGCAAAAGAAGUAGGUAGCUUAACCUUCGGGAGGGCGCUUACCACUUU
rnacentral:rRNA from 1 species